UGUACGAUGGGGAUGCUUUCCAUUAGGUAGUAGGCGGGGUAACGGCCCACCUAUCCAACGAUGGAUAGGGGUUCUGAGAGGAAGGUCCCCCACAUUGGAACUGAGACACGGUCCAAACUCCUACGGGAGGCAGCAGUGAGGAAUAUUGGUCAAUGGACGAGAGUCUGAACCAGCCAAGUAGCGUGAAGGAUGAAGGUCCUACGGAUUGUAAACUUCUUUUAUAAGGGAAUAAACCCUCCCACGUGUGGGAGCUUGUAUGUACCUUAUGAAUAAGCAUCGGCUAACUCCGUGCCAGCAGCCGCGGUAAUACGGAGGAUGCGAGCGUUAUCCGGAUUUAUUGGGUUUAAAGGGAGCGCAGACGGGUCGUUAAGUCAGCUGUGAAAGUUUGGGGCUCAACCUUAAAAUUGCAGUUGAUACUGGCGUCCUUGAGUGCGGUU
rnacentral:rRNA from 1 species